UCGCGAUAUGGCAACGGUGGCGGGGGAGGAGAAGAAAACGAGCGGCCAGUCGAUCCAGAUAUUUCAACGAGGCCGGAACAUUCCGGCGAAUCGAGAGUUUUUUGUGGUUAAUUUUGAGUUUAAUCGAAUCGACUGUAAGGUGCGCGUGUUCCCUUGUACCGUGAUUCCGUGUCGAGAAUACAUAUUCUUCGCUGUCUACGGUGUUCGUGAUUGAUUUUCCUCAGCGGACAGCGGUCCGUCACAUUGGUGCCGAAACCCGGGAUCGAACUUCACGUACCUGUACGUCUUCCUAACGUGGCAAAAUUUUCAUCGUGGGUCGAACCUACGAACACGAACAAUCCACUUUCGAACACAACCAGCACUCGUCUCGACUUUCGAACAAUUCUAUUCCGAAACGGUGUACAGAUCGAACAUAUGAAAACGAACAUACGGCCCUCGAACACACAUACUCGUUUCGAAUAAUUCUCGUCCGAAAGGAUCGAACAUACGAACACGAACGUACGGCAACGAACACAGUCCCUCGUUUCGAACACGCCUUGCUCGAAAGUCUCUGAAAAAUUUAACUCACGGUCCGUGUGACGUACGUCCACAAUAUUCCGACGCCAUGGCCGACCUGGAAUUAAUGAAUGCCCCGGAUUUGUUCCGGCUUCGAACCACUACAAAACGCCAGCACACGAACCUCGUUACGCGAGUGUACAGCAUGAUUAACAGACGGGCAUCGCAAGCUGUAUUCGCGGUGUUGUCAACGGAUCUUGAGGCUGCGCUAGAGCGUAUCACGGCGAUUAACGAGCGGUACGUCGUCGCGGGAGAACUGGAUGAUCAAGAAAGAGCGGCAGCA